rnacentral:lncRNA from 1 species
UACUGGGAGCUGCACAGGGGGCUGUACUGGAAACUGGGGGAGUAUAAUGGGAGCUGUACUGGGGGUGCACUGCAUGGGGGCUGCAACAGGAGGGCUAUAUUGGGGGGGGGGAGGUCUACAUGGGGGGGCGUACUGGGAGCUGCACGGCACGGGGAGCUUAAUGUGGAGGGGUGCUGCACCGGAGUGCAGUGGGAGGCACUGGGCAGCACUGGGAGGCACUGGGCGGCACUGGGCAGCACUGGUUGCCGCAGGGCAGCCCCCCCCCCAGCAGCCGCCCCCGCCGCAGCGUGUCUGGUCGGUGACUCACGGCCGGGCCGGGGGCCACACGUGUGCCGAGCGCGGGGCUCAGCACGGCCACGUGGCCCAACCCGGUCACCGUGGGGCCCGGGGAGCCUGCGGGAUCCUGCCGGGGCCUGGCGCGAUGCUGGGCCGGUAGGAACGGGGCACACGGUGCCGUGAGGCCUGUCCGAAGUGGCUCUGGGUGACGGGGACAGCCCGGUGCCACACGCUCGGUGGCCUUGACGUGGCCGUGCCGUGCCCGUGUGGUGCCGGUGCUGGGUCCCGUGCCGGUGCCGCGCUGGUUCCUGCACAGAGCUGGUGCCGAGGCAGUGCCAGGGCCAACCGGUGCUGGUGCUGCACGGUGCCAACACUGGUGCCAAGGCAGCACGGCUCCUGCGUGGUGCUAGUGCCAUGCCGUGCCAACGGUGUGAGUGCCAGCUGUGGGGCCAGGAGAUGCCAAUACGGUGCCGGUGCCGUGCGGAGCCAACGCGGUGCCGUGCCCACGCAGUGCCAGUGCCGGUGCCACACAGUGCCAGUGCCGUGCCAAUGCGGUGCCAACUCAGUGCUGGUGCUGUGUGGUGCCGGUGUGGUGCCGUGCCGUGCCGUCCCAGCGCGGUGCCGGUGUUGUUCCUGUGCCAAGGUGAUGCCAACACGGUGCCGGUGCCGUGCCAAUGCGGUGCCAGCUCAGUGCCAACGAGGUGCCGGUGCCAUCCCCGUGCCAUCCCCGUGCCAACGCGGUGCCAACGCGGUGCCGGUGCCGUUCCCGUCCCCCCCCUCAACCCUCCCCAAAUCCCCUCCCGGUGCCGCCCCCGGC